GCUGCCACUCUAGCCUCCGCUCCCUCAUCUCUAUUUGUCUGCUAGCCUGCUACAAAAUCCUAGAACUAUUUGGUUCAAAAGGCUUAUGCUGAAAAGUAGUGUGAUUUCAAAUGCUUCUGCUGAAAAGUAGUGUCAAUCUUCAGCAGAAUUAGCCUUAGAGGGUGUUUGUUUCCAGGGACUUAUUGGUUUAGGGACUUGAAAAAGUCCCUAUAAGUCCCAUCUAAACCAAACAGGAGGGACUUAUAUGAACUUAAAGUGGGCAUUUGGGACUUAUGAAAUAAGACUCUCAAGGCGAGUCUUAUAGGAACUUAUAAUUGUAAUAUGGUCUUUUAGUCCAUGUUAAGUCCCAGGAACCAAACAGGUUGGGACUUUUUAGGGACUUGGGACUUAUAAGUUGGGACUAAAAAAAGUCCUAGAACUUAUGAACCAAACAGGGCCUUAGUUAUCCAUGGUCUCUUAUCCUGACUUCUCAAAAGCAGUUCAAUAAUGUCUAUUGGGAUGUCAUCUGUCAUGGCAAGUUUUUCAUGAAUCAAUUCUUGCUUCUGUUUAUUUAUUUCUCUUCUUCAGUAGUUUCCGCUCAAAGGCAGCACUUACCUGGAGAAACCAGAGGAUAUAAACGAGGCAAUACAGUUAAUCUCUUACAAUAUUUAGUAGAGAAGCACUAUUGUGCAAACACUAAUAUUGGUUUCUCUUCUCUUCGAUGAUAGUGCCAAACAAAUAAUGGUGCCGAACUGCACAUACAUACAUGUGGUGUUACAGAAUGAAGUCAAUCUCCUUAACCCGCUGGCUGAGCUAGAGAAGCAAGCACAAGAAGAAGCAUCUCGUGCAGUCCAUCAGCUCAUCCUGAUGUCAAGUGCCAAGACCGCUUCAACAUGUGAGCAUGAUCCUUUCCAAUCUUUAGUCAUGUGUUGCUAGAACACAAUAACAUUAAUACCAUUUAUUUUGUAUUAUUGACAUGGGAAAUUGAUUUAAAUUGCUAGUGGUGGUUAUAAUAGUUUGCUAUACUUUUAGUAGAUUAUGUUUAUGCAAGUUAGACAUAGAGCUGCUGUUUGAGAAAGUAUGUAGAUUUAUGAACAAGCCCAUCUUGUACUACUGUUCGUGUAGGUAGUCAUUCAGACAUUUCUUAACUCUGUAGCAAAUACUCCCUCCGUUCCUAAAUAUAAGUCUUUUUAGAGAUUUCACUAUGGACUACAUACAGAGCAAAAUGAGUGAAUCUACACUCUAAAAUAUGUCUAUAUACAUCCGUAUGUAGUUUGUAGUGCAAUCUCUAAAAAGACUUAUAUUUAGGAACGGAGGGAGUAGUUCACAUGGUAGAGCCAGCCAUGGUGCAGAGGCUAGAUAGUUUUAGUAUUCAGCCUUCAGUUGCUGUUAGCUCUACUCUGAUUUGUCCUUUCGUAAUGGCAAUGCGGAGUCUUUACUGCAUAUUACUUACCGGAACUGAUGUGUUUUUGUCGACAUAAAAUUCUAACCUGAAUUUGCUAUUGAGGUGGGAAAUUCAAUAAUGUACGUACUGUAUUUGCAUUUUGCAAGAUAAUUUGGCUGUCAAAGUGCUACAUCGCAUCUCACUAGACCUAUUGAGUAAGUGGUAAUUUUUCAUUUAUAUAUCAUUCAGAUUUCUAUAUGCAUUGUUCAUAGAUUCCUUGCAUUGUUGAGUUAACCAAUUUUCGUAAGGGUCAUACUUACUGGACCAUGGCACACCCUUCCAAUGCAGGCUGCUUCCAUGACCAUACUUCAAAUAGGGGAGAUUAGUUUGCCUCUCAUCAUCAACUUUGGACCCUCUUUGCAUGGGCAUGUUUUUUCAAAGCGUACUUGUAUGAAAUAAACUGUAUUGGUUUUCAGUUUAUAUCUGUCCAUUGUUUUGCUCACAUCACAAAUUUUUAUAGCUAGAAAGUCCGGAGUUCGGUGCAAUCGAAACACAUAUUCCAGUCCAGCAUUGAUAGUUUAUCCCUAUUGGACAUGCAUAUCUUCCUCGAUGAGUAUGGCAGAAUCCAACAUCCGUUCGUCCUCUAUAUUGGGGCUCCAUGGCUGCCAAUCAACAGAGCAAGACCGGAGACCACCCUCUCCUCCUCCAAUUUGGAGCUCCAUGGCCGCCAUUUGAUAGGCGCACUACCGUCGUUGCCUCCUCACCGCCUCACCUGGGAGAGCGCAGGCAGCGAUAUUGCCCAUGACUCGCCUCAUGUUCGGUUAACAAGAUGUAGUUCCAUUAGGUCCGUUGCUCCUCUUACAUGCAGAGCCUAGGAAUAUUCGAAACUGCAGGUAUGCGAGAAGAAAUAUUCUAAAUUAGCAGGCAGCAAAUUGACCAGGUUUACAAGCUAUUAGAUGUGCAUUUUUAAGAUGCAGUAGUCAUACUUUCUACUGGAAUUUGACUUAUAAUUCUAAAAAUUUGCUGAGCAAUGCGUCAACAGAAUGCAGCUGCAACUUGAUUUAUUUUAUGUCAAUUGGACUCUAGAUGAAGACGAACACAUCUGUUUCUAGAAUGUUGACCUGUUUCUGUAUGCAAAAUGAACUAUUGGUACUUUAUAAAACUGAAAUAUGGCAAUGGUUGCUGACAAGGAAUUUGUGCUUAAUGGAUUUCUAUUUUCUCCCUCAUUUGAACCAUACUGAAGAUGAUACGGUCAAAUUAUUUGAGGUGGCUUAUCCUGGUUUAUUUUUGUCAUAUGAAGUGCCAAAUAUCAAUAUUCUACAUUUGCUGCCAAUAUUUUACAAAUUAGCUUCAUUUAUUUACUGGUGUGCGUCUUUUUUUUCUUGAGAUGCUUAUUUAUGACGACUGUCUCUUCACUGGUUAUUGGUUUAUGUUUUCAAAUGAGAAACAUAGCUAAUUACUAACCUUUCAGGGGGAGAGCUGUUAUAAUCCUUACAAUCCACGAGUUCCAGGCCUGUUGAAUAAGCAAAGGUUUGGUCUAAGAAAGUGAGGUUGCUCGUGCAAUAUUCAUUGAAGGUCAUCAAAUCCCUUUGAUAGGGGUUAAAAGAGAUGGUGGCUUCAACUAUGCCUCAAGAGAUUUAGCAGCCCUUUGGCUGGUUACUGAAUCAUAGUUGAAAUGUUUUUUCUAUACCUCACUCUUUCUCGGUGUCCCUAUUUUCUGUAGAAUCAAAGUGGUAUAUUUCAUAGUUGAUGCAGUUCUGCCAUUGUAGGUGUGCUUUUCUGGUACAGCAAGGAGGGUUCUAUUUUUCCAAAAACAUAUAGUAAAGAUAGUUCAGCAGAAACUUUCA